rnacentral:lncRNA from 1 species
ACAUAUUCUGUAAUUAUAUACAUAUCAGACCUUUGAAGGCAUUUGUUGAAAUUAUAUAUUAAAAAAAAAAAUCUGAUUGUAAAAGAUGAAACAGAAGAGGGUUCUUGAGCUUAGUCUGAUAUCUAAAACUAAUGCACUGUAAGGCACCAACACACUCAAUAUAUUUGUAAAGAAUAAUAGCAGAUCUUUACUUGUUAUUGCCAUACUAUCGAACUUUUGAAUACAAUAACCAAACCUAUCAAACCUACAUCAAUUUAGAAACCACGCGGCAUUCAAUAACUGUUCCCCGGCCAAUUGAAGGUUUCCCUCAUCAAGUAUUUCAUGUAUUUCCAAGACCAAAUUACCAGAAUUCAAGGCAAAAGUGUCAAGAAUUUUUUUUUCUCUGAAAAGCUUUAUUCUGAGGACACAACUGUAAUUAUUUUGACCAAUUCCCAGAGAUAUUUGGUAAAAGUGAUGCAUAUUUCAAUAGGACAACCACUUCAUUUGAUGGACAAUACAUCAACCAACCAUAAGAAUCAAAUCACUCACUGAUCUCCAGUUUUAUUCCCCCCACCCACCCACCUACCACCACUACCAUUAUUAAUCAUUACAGAAAUAAGGAAUAAAAAUUAAAAUUUAAAAAAAAAAAUUUUUUUUUUUUUUUUUUUUUUGCAAAAAAAAAGAAAAUCCUCAGAAGAACACUUGAAGAAGAACUUUGCCGACUGAACUUCUGGAAUAAAUUUAGCUUGACUUUUUUUAUAAGGGACCCAAGUAUAGAAGAAGAAGAAGUCAAAAAAGAAAAAAAAAAGAAAAAAAAGAAAAAAAAUUUCUAUAUAAUUCCUAAACUCGAGCUUUUUUAAAGUUCAGUGCUUCACUGUAAGGAUGACUAUCUUCAACUUUGGCAGUAUGUAACAUUCACAAGGAACAUAGUGUUUUAAUUCCGGAGUUUGUUUUUUUUUUUCAAAUUCUUGUUCUUGUUUUUGUUUUGUUUUUUUCUGUUCUGUUUCCGUUUCCACCAUUAGGUGUUGCUAUUACCUUACCUUGUAAAUGAUGUAUCCUGGUUAAGGUGAGUAUAUUCGUACUUAGCAGUUAAGUGUUGAAGUCUUGAAGACGAGUGUAGCUUCCAUUGUCAGCCAGACUGUUAAAAAAAAAACAACAUUUAUGCCAAACACUUCAUCAACUAACAACUCCCACUCCUCUAGGACAUUUAUGUAAACACCACAAACACACAUACACACAACAACAAAAUACAUACAUAGAUACACACACAUUUACACAUACAUCCACUCAUACACAUGCACACACACACAUAUAUAUAUAUUUAUACAUACUACAGCAUUUACAAAAACUCUCCCUCGCACAUUACAAAACUAUGCAAAUUCAACAGACCAAAAUGAUUAUAAUAACAAUAAUUUGACGAAAUUUAAAGUGAAGCAAAGGAGAGAAAGUUAAAAUAAAAUCCAAACUAUUGCACGGUUUGGAUAUUUUUUAUGACUAUGCUAUUCUGAAAUUACCUAUUCAUGUAAAUAACAAUCUGAAUAUUACCAGAUAAAAUUAUACUUCUGUCUUAUUCACGUU